rnacentral:rRNA from 1 species
UAGGGAAUCUUCCACAAUGGACGAAAGUCUGAUGGAGCAACGCCGCGUGAGUGAAGAAGGGUUUCGGCUCGUAAAAACUCUGUUGUUAAAGAAGAACAUAUCUGAGAGUAACUGUUCAGGUAUUGACGGUAUUUAACCAGAAAGCCACGGCUAAACUACGUACCAG